rnacentral:ncRNA from 1 species
CAACUUGAAUGAAAAAACACGAUUCGGUUGGUAGUCCGGAUGCAUCAUAAAUUUGAUGUCAGUAACCUUUCCCUCCUCGGGAUGUCCAUCAUUCGAUUUUAAUAU